rnacentral:rRNA from 1 species
GACGAACGCUGGCGGCGUGCUUAACACAUGCAAGUCGAACGGAAAGGCCCUGCUUUUGUGGGGUGCUCGAGUGGCGAAUGGGUGAGUAACACGUGAGUAACCUGCCCUUGACUUUGGGAUAACUUCAGGAAACUGGGGCUAAUACCGGAUAGGAGCUCCUGCUGCAUGGUGGGGGUUGGAAAGUUUCGGCGGUUGGGGAUGGACUCGCGGCUUAUCAGCUUGUUGGUGGGGUAGUGGCUUACCAAGGCUUUGACGGGUAGCCGGCCUGAGAGGGUGACCGGCCACAUUGGGGCUGAGAUACGGCCCAGACUCCUACGGGAGGCAGCAGUGGGGAAUAUUGCACAAUGGGCGGAAGCCUGAUGCAGCAACGCCGCGUGCGGGAUGACGGCCUUCGGGUUGUAAACCGCUUUCGCCUGUGACGAAGCGUGAGUGACGGUAAUGGGUAAAGAAGCACCGGCUAACUACGUG